rnacentral:SRP_RNA from 1 species
GCUGGGCGUGGUGGCACAAGCCUGUAAUCCAGCUACUCCAGAGGCUGAGACUGGCAGAUCGCUUGAGCUCAGGAUUUCUGGGCUGCAGCGGACUAAGCCGAUUGGGGUCUGCACUAAGUUCAGCAUCAAUAUGGCGAUCCCCGGGGAGCCAAGGUUCACCAGGUUGCCUAAGGAGGGGUGAACCAGCCCAGGUCAGAGAUAGAGCUCCCGUGCCAAUCCGUAGUGGUACAGCAUCUGUGAAUAGCCGCUGCACCGUCACCUGAGAAAGAGAGUGAGACCCAGACUCUU